GCUACGGUGGUCUAGCGGUUAGAACGCUGGCCUUGUAAUCCUGGGGUCUCGGGUUCGAUUCCCGGCGGUGCCU
rfam:Zootermopsis nevadensis contig27343, whole genome shotgun sequence.